rnacentral:rRNA from 1 species
UACGUAGGGUGCAAGCGUUAUCCGGAAUUAUUGGGCGUAAAGAGCUCGUAGGCGGUUUGUCGCGUCUGCUGUGAAAUCCCGGGGCUCAACCCCGGGCGUGCAGUGGAUACGGGCUGGCUAGAGGCAGGCAGGGGAGAACGGAAUUCCCGGUGUAGCGGUGAAAUGCGCAGAUAUCAGGAGGAACACCGGUGGCGAAGGCGGAUCUCUGGGCCAUUACUGACGCUGAGGAGCGAAAGCGUGGGGAGCGAACAGG